rnacentral:lncRNA from 10 species
UGAACCACCCCAGGCCCUUUGCACCUGCUAUUCCCUCUCCUCAGCAUGCUCUGCCCCAGACAAUUGCAAUGCUAACUUCUUACUUCCUUCAGGUUUCACUCAGAAAUGACUUUCUCAGUGGGGUCUCCCAUGACCAUUUUAUUUAAGAUUUCAACUACUUUGCCAGUAUUUCACUUCUCCUCCCUUGAUCUUUUCUUCCAAGCACUCACUGCCCUCUUGCACACUGUAUCUUUUACUUAUUUAUCUUGUUCAGUUUCUGCCUGCCUCACCUGCCUCACCACAGUGUACAUUUCACGAGGGCAGGGAUUUUGUCUGUUUUGUUGAUUGCUGUAGCCCUGGCAUCUUGGGCAGUGCCAGCACCUGUUAGCAUUAAAUACAUAUUUACUGAAUGAAUGAGUGGCUUCAUGCUUAAAAGCAAGAAGAGAGACCUUCAUAGAGAAGUAGGAAAAUGAAUUGUUGCACAAAUAAAGGGCCAUGUAAUGAGAGAGAGAGAGCAAGAGAAAGAGCAAACAAUUAAGGAGCAGCAGUGGCUUCCUGCAGGGGAGACCAAUGCCUUCUGUCCUCAGCGGAAACAGCUUGGCAUUCUUCCAAUUGAUGAAUGGCAUGGACCAGGAGCACUAGUUAUCUUCAGCUUCUGAGCAUCCGAAUAAAUAAACAUACAAAUGCAUAACAUAAAAUAAAUUCAAAUUACAAAUGAGAAAACCAAUCUAGGUUACCGGCAAGUCCUAUGACUUGAUGUGGAGGCCUGGAAGUGCAUCCUUGAAUCUUGCAAUGCAGUGAGCCAAGGAGCAAUGAGAGGCCACAUGAAUAACCGGGCCAGUGACAAGACACAUGUCCUCCUCCUUGCUGGUAUACACCAGAAUGCCCCGCAUGCAGCGAAUGCUCAAAAAGUGUUGGUGGAAGUGACAGAAUUCCAUCACCAUUAAACACAACCAGUGUUGCGGUUGACAAUGGCACUGAAGCAGGUGAAAAAUCCGUACAGCAGCUUCUGUCUUUGAAGAGUUUGCAGCCUCUUGAAGAGGGUUUAGAGGUUAAAAAAAGGACCCAGGCUGAUAGGGCCGCUACCAUUUGGAAAGUGACAAGAGGAAGAGAGAGAAUGAAACAACAGUAAGCACUGGCUCUCAGCUUCUACCUGAAGAGACAAACAUUGCUUUCACUUACAUUUCACUGGCCAAAUCAAGCCCAUGGCAACAAUUGAGUUCAAAAGCAUAAGGAGGUAUCUGGAAGGAAGAGAAUCAGAAAAUUUCUGAUGAGCCUCACUGACUACCUUCAGGGCAAAAAGGAAGAGAGGCACUCCAGAUCAGAGAUCUGCAUUGGAAACUCCUUGAGAACCAGAAGGGUAUGCUGUAUUUUUGUAACUGUGAGGAGCCCAGAAAGACUGAAGCCCAAAUAAAAUUCCUUUAUUCAAUAUU